rnacentral:rRNA from 2 species
UUGCUUCUCUGAUGUUAGCGGCGGACGGGUGAGUAACACGUGGGUAACCUACCUAUAAGACUGGGAUAACUCCGGGAAACCGGGGCUAAUACCGGAUAAUAUUUUGAACCGCAUGGUUCAAUAGUGAAAGACGGUUUCGGCUGUCACUUAUAGAUGGACCCGCGCCGUAUUAGCUAGUUGGUAAGGUAACGGCUUACCAAGGCGACGAUACGUAGCCGACCUGAGAGGGUGAUCGGCCACACUGGAACUGAGACACGGUCCAGACUCCUACGGGAGGCAGCAGUAGGGAAUCUUCCGCAAUGGGCGAAAGCCUGACGGAGCAACGCCGCGUGAGUGAUGAAGGUCUUCGGAUCGUAAAACUCUGUUGUUAGGGAAGAACAAAUUUGUUAGUAACUGAACAAGUCUUGACGGUACCUAACCAGAAAGCCACGGCUAACUACGUGCCAGCAGCCGCGGUAAUACGUAGGUGGCAAGCGUUAUCCGGAAUUAUUGGGCGUAAAGCGCGCGUAGGCGGUUUCUUAAGUCUGAUGUGAAAGCCCACGGCUCAACCGUGGAGGGUCAUUGGAAACUGGGAAACUUGAGUGCAGAAGAGGAGAGUGGAAUUCCAUGUGUAGCGGUGAAAUGCGCAGAGAUAUGGAGGAACACCAGUGGCGAAGGCGGCUCUCUGGUCUGUAACUGACGCUGAUGUGCGAAAGCGUGGGGAUCAAACAGGAUUAGAUACCCUGGUAGUCCACGCCGUAAACGAUGAGUGCUAAGUGUUAGGGGGUUUCCGCCCCUUAGUGCUGCAGCUAACGCAUUAAGCACUCCGCCUGGGGAGUACGACCGCAAGGUUGAAACUCAAAGGAAUUGACGGGGACCCGCACAAGCGGUGGAGCAUGUGGUUUAAUUCGAAGCAACGCGAAGAACCUUACCAAAUCUUGACAUCCUUUGACCGCUCUAGAGAUAGAGUCUUCCCCUUCGGGGGACAAAGUGACAGGUGGUGCAUGGUUGUCGUCAGCUCGUGUCGUGAGAUGUUGGGUUAAGUCCCGCAACGAGCGCAACCCUUAAGCUUAGUUGCCAUCAUUAAGUUGGGCACUCUAGGUUGACUGCCGGUGACAAACCGGAGGAAGGUGGGGAUGACGUCAAAUCAUCAUGCCCCUUAUGAUUUGGGCUACACACGUGCUACAAUGGAUAAUACAAAGGGCAGCGAAUCCGCGAGGCCAAGCAAAUCCCAUAAAAUUAUUCUCAGUUCGGAUUGUAGUCUGCAACUCGACUACAUGAAGCUGGAAUCGCUAGUAAUCGUAGAUCAGCAUGCUACGGUGAAUACGUUCCCGGGUCUUGUACACACCGCCCGUCACACCACGAGAGUUUGUAACACCCGAAGCCGGUGGAGUAACCUUUUAGGAGCUAGCCGUCGAAGG